AGCCCAAAGCUCAGGGGUAGAUCAUCUGCUUUGCAUGCAGGAGGUCCCAGGUUCAGUCCCCUGCACAGGGCUU